rnacentral:rRNA from 1 species
GACGAACGCUGGCGGCGUGCUUAACACAUGCAAGUCGAACGGAAAGGCCCUUCGGGGUGCUCGAGUGGCGAACGGGUGAGUAACACGUGGGUGAUCUGCCCUGCACUUUGGGAUAAGCCUGGGAAACCGGGUCUAAUACCGGAUAGGACUACGCGAUGCAUGUCGUGUGGUGGAAAGCUUUUGUGGUGUGGGAUGGGCCCGCGGCCUAUCAGCUUGUUGGUGGGGUGAUGGCCUACCAAGGCGACGACGGGUAGCCGGCCUGAGAGGGUGUCCGGCCACACUGGGACUGAGAUACGGCCCAGACUCCUACGGGAGGCAGCAGUGGGGAAUAUUGCACAAUGGGCGCAAGCCUGACGCAGCGACGCCGCGUGAGGGAUGACGGCCUUCGGGUUGUAAACCUCUUUCAGCAGGGACGAAGCGCAAGUGACGGUACCUGUAGAAGAAGCACCGGCCAACUACGUGCCAGCAGCCGCAGUAA